UGGCUUCUCAGGUCGGAGGAAAACGGAGGAACAACGGAGGCUUUUUGCGGUUGGUGCGUGAAAGUUGUUGAUGCGAACAAAAGUUUCAAAAUAUUUAAAGUUCAAAGUGGAAUCAGUCAGAUUGAAGAAAUAGAACUGUGGAGCUGGAGGGAAUACUACGAUGCUCGAUCGAAUAAUUCGACGGCCAGACAAACAAGAAUGUAAGAAUUAACUAAAG
rnacentral:lncRNA from 1 species